rnacentral:rRNA from 1 species
UAAGGCCUUUCGGGGUACACGAGCGGCGAACGGGUGAGUAACACGUGGGUGAUCUGCCCUGCACUCUGGGAUAAGCCUGGGAAACUGGGUCUAAUACCGGAUAUGACUGCAUGCCGCAUGGUGUGUGGUGGAAAGCUUUAUGUGGUGCAGGAUGGGCCCGCGGCCUAUCAGCUUGUUGGUGGGGUAAUGGCCUACCAAGGCGACGACGGGUAGCCGACCUGAGAGGGUGACCGGCCACACUGGGACUGAGACACGGCCCAGACUCCUACGGGAGGCAGCAGUGGGGAAUAUUGCACAAUGGGCGGAAGCCUGAUGCAGCGACGCCGCGUGAGGGAUGAAGGCCUUCGGGUUGUAAACCUCUUUCAGCAGGGACGAAGCGCAAGUGACGGUACCUGCAGAAGAAGCACCGGCUAACUACGUGCCAGCAGCCGCGGUAAUACGUAGGGUGCGAGCGUUGUCCGGAAUUACUGGGCGUAAAGAGUUCGUAGGCGGUUUGUCGCGUCGUUUGUGAAAACCCGGGGCUCAACUUCGGGCUUGCAGGCGAUACGGGCAGACUUGAGUGUUUCAGGGGAGACUGGAAUUCCUGGUGUAGCGGUGAAAUGCGCAGAUAUCAGGAGGAACACCGGUGGCGAAGGCGGGUCUCUGGGAAACAACUGACGCUGAGGAACGAAAGCGUGGGUAGCAAACAGGAUUAGAUACCCUGGUAGUCCACGCCGUAAACGGUGGGCGCUAGGUGUGGGUUCCUUCCACGGAAUCUGUGCCGUAGCUAACGCAUUAAGCGCCCCGCCUGGGGAGUACGGCCGCAAGGCUAAAACUCAAAGGAAUUGACGGGGGC